rnacentral:rRNA from 1 species
UACGUAGGGUGCGAGCGUUGUCCGGAAUUAUUGGGCGUAAAGGGCUCGUAGGCGGUUUGUCGCGUCGGGAGUGAAAUCCAGGGCUUAACUCUGGACUGGCUUCCGAUACGGGCAGACUAGAGGUAUGCAGGGGAGAACGGAAUUCCUGGUGUAGCGGUGAAAUGCGCAGAUAUCAGGAGGAACACCGGUGGCGAAGGCGGUUCUCUGGGCAUACCUGACGCUGAGGAGCGAAAAGUGUGGGGAGCGAACAGG